GGAUUUCUGGAGAUUCCUAUUCGACUGUCUUCCCUGAUGUCAUUCCUCUACUAUAAGGUUUUGGACCAUUUCCAGUAAUAUCAUCACAAAAUCAGGCUAGAGGUGAGCUUGAUGAGAACAGAGAGACCUUAUAAGUGAGCUUCUUAUCUCUAGUACCUAUAAUGGCACCUGGCAUCUAGCUAAUAAGGCAGUCCCCCUCUAUGCGCCAGCACAUUUGUGGCUGCACCAGCCAGCCCCUGCCUCAGAAGCUCUGCCACUCUGGUUUUUGCCACUGUUACCUGCUCACAUGCAAGUUCCUCUGAUGAUUCUUAACAAAUACACCUCCUCCCCAUCUAGAACUGACCACAUUUCACCUUUCUGAGUUGGGCAAACUUGGAAGAAUGACUCGGCAAGGAGUUAAGUAUAUGGAGAAAGAUGAUCAGAAUCCAUUUUAAUCUGUGCUUAUACCUUAAAAGAAAAGAAAUGUUCCUAAUUUGUGGUUAUUUACAACACUGUAAAUCAAGCAAAUGCCAUGAA